rnacentral:siRNA from 1 species
GAAACUGACCUACCGAAUAUCCAG